CUCUUAUCAAGAGAGGUGGAGGGAAAUGGCCCUGUGAAACCCAGCAACCUACAGUAAUUAAUUUUAAUUAAUAUGUGUGGUGCUAAUUCCUGUAGAUUUUAUCUACAAGAUGAGAA
rnacentral:ncRNA from 2 species